rnacentral:lncRNA from 10 species
GGCCAUAAAGAUGAGCACCUAGAAUGGAAGGCCAGGCAGGCACCGAGACCUGCAGCCUCUUGCCCAGAGAGCCUUUCUCACCUCUCCUGUUGCUGCUUUCCAGCCCCAUCGGCCUCCUGAGCUGUCUCCUCCCUCCAGCCCUUCCUGCCUGGGCUGGGCAGAUUUCCCUCUCGGGAGUCUCAGAUUUGGAAACAAGAUAUGAAACAAUCAACUUGGUUGUAAGGGAGGAGACCACCCCUCAUAUUGUCUUAUGCCCAAUUUCUGCUUCCAAAGAAAGAAGAAGUAAAAACUAAAGGCAGAAAUGGAAUCCACAGGCAGAUAGCCCAGCACUGUGCCCUGGGCCUGGUAGUUAAAAAUCAACCCCUGACCUAACUGCUUGUGUUAUCUAUAGAUUGCAGACAUUGUAUGGAAAAGCAUCGUGAAAAUCCCUUCCUGUUCUGUUCAGUUCUGAUUACUGGUGCAUGCAGCCCCCAGUCACAUAUCCCCACUUGCUCAAUCAAUUACGACCCUUUCAUACUGACCCUCUUAGAAUUGUAAGCCCUUAAAAGGGACAGGAACUGCUCACUCAGAGAGCUCAGUUUUUGGAGACAUGAGUCUGCCGGUGCUCCCAGCUGAAUAAAGCCCUUUCCUUCUACAACUUGGUGUCUGAGGGGUUCUUGUCUGUGGCUCA